UACGGGGGGGGCAAGCGUUGUUCGGAAUUACUGGGCGUAAAGGGCCAGUAGGCGGCCAACUAAGUCGGAUGUGAAAUCCCCAGGCUUAACCUGGGAACUGCAUCCGAUACUGGAUGGCUUGAAUUCGGGAGAGGGAUGCAGAAUUCCAGGUGUAGCGGCGAAAUGCGUAGAUAUCUGGAGGAAUACCGGUGGCGAAGGCGGCAUCCUGGACCGACAUUGACGCUGAACGGCGAAAGCUAGGGGAGCAAACGGG
rnacentral:rRNA from 1 species